GAUGAACGCUGGCGGCGUGCCUAACACAUGCAAGUCGAACGGAGUCCAGCCUUAGAGACCUUCGGGUCAAAGAGGGGAAGACUGAGUGGCGGACGGGUGAGUAACACGUGGGCAACCUGGCUCAUAGAGGGGGAUAACAGAGAGAAAUUUCUGCUAAUACCGCAUAAGCACACACUGCCGCAUGGCAGAGUGUGAAAAGAGAAUCGCUAUGAGAUGGACCCGCGUCUGAUUAGCCAGUUGGCAGGGUAAGAGCCUACCAAAGCGACGAUCAGUAGCCGAUUUGAGAGGAUGAACGGCCACAUUGGGACUGAGACACGGACCAAACUCCUACGGGAGGCAGCAGUGGGGGAUAUUGCACAAUGGGGGGAAACCUGAUGCAGCGACGCCGCGUGAGUGAAGAAGUAUUUCGGUAUGUAAAGCUCUAUCAGCAGGGAAGAUAAUGACAGUACCUGAAGAAGAAGCCCCGGCUAACUACGUG
rnacentral:rRNA from 1 species